GGGUGUAUCUCAGUGGUAGAGUGCAUGCUUAGCAUGCACGAGGUCCUGGGUUCAAUCCCCAGUACCUCCA
rnacentral:tRNA from 1 species